GACGAACGCUGGCGGCGUGCUUAACACAUGCAAGUCGAACGGAAAGGCCCUGCUUUUGUGGUGUGCUCGAGUGGCGAACGGGUGAGUAACACGUGAGUAACCUGCCCUUGACUUUGGGAUAACUUCAGGAAACUGGGGCUAAUACCGGAUAGGAGCUCCUGCUGCAUUGUGGGGGUUGGAAAGUUUCGGCGGUUGGGGAUGGACUCGCGGCUUAUCAGCUUGUUGGUGGGGUAGUGGCUUACCAAGGCUUUGACGGGUAGCCGGCCUGAGAGGGUGACCGGCGACAUUGGGACUGAGAUACGGCCCAGACUCCUACGGGAGGCAGCAGUGGGGAAUAUUGCACAAUGGGCGGAAGCCUGAUGCAGCAACGCCGCGUGCGGGAUGACGGCCUUCGGGUUGUAAACCGCUUUCGCCUGUGACGAAGCGUGAGUGACGGUAAUGGGUAAAGAAGCAACGGCUAACUACGUG
rnacentral:rRNA from 1 species